UCCUGGGUGGCUCAGUCAGUUAAGCAUCUGACUUCAGCUCAGGUCAUGAUCUCCCAGUUCGUGGGUUCAAGCCCCACAUCAGGCU
rnacentral:tRNA from 1 species